rnacentral:rRNA from 1 species
UACGGGGGGGGGCAAGCGUUGUUCGGAAUUACUGGGCGUAAAGGGCGCGUAGGCGGCCUGCUAAGUCACACGUGAAAUCCCUCGGCUCAACCGGGGGAACUGCGUGUGAUACUGGCGGGCUUGAAUUCGGGAGAGGGAUGGUGGAAUUCCAGGUGUAGCGGUGAAAUGCGUAGAUAUCGGAGGAACACCGGUGGCGAAGGCGGCAUCCUGGACCGGCAUGACGCUGAGGAGCGAAAGCCAGGGGAGCAAAGCGGG